rnacentral:rRNA from 1 species
GCGGUUAAAAAGCUCGUAGUCGAAUUUGUGUCCGCGCCGCGGUUCAUCGUCCGCGGUGUUAACUGGCGCGCAGCGGGACGUCCUGCCGGUGGGCUUAGCCCGUUGGCGGCCCAACUCAAUCCCGCCGCGGUGCUCUUCACUGAGUGUCGAGGUGGGCCGGCACGUUUACUUUGAACAAAUUAGAGUGCUUAAAGCAGGCUAAAAUUUCGCCUGAAUACUGUGUGCAUGGAAUAAUGGAAUAGGACUGGUUCUAUUUUGUUGGUUUUCGGACCCGAGGUAAUGAUUAAUAGGACGGGGGGGCAUGUAUUGGUAGAGGUGAAAUUCUUGGAUCAAGACAACGCGAAAGCAUUUGCCAAACGUUUCAUUAUCAAGAACGAAAGUUAGGGCGAAGGAUCAGAUACCGCUAGUCUAACCAUAAACGAUGCCAGCUAGCGAUCCGCGAGUUUCUCCGAUGACUCGCGGGCAGCUUCCGGGAAACCAAAGCUUUUGGGUUCCGGGGGAAGUAUGGUUGCAAAGCUGAAACUUAAAGGAAUUGACGGAAGGGCACCACCAGGAGUGGAGCCUGCGGCUUAAUUUGACUCAACACGGGAACUCACCAGGCCGACACAAGGAUUGACAGAUUGAGAGCUCUUUCUUGAUUCGUGGGUGGUGGUGCAUGGCCGUUCUU